rnacentral:lncRNA from 11 species
UCGGUAGUCAGUAUUCGAUAAUCAUAACCUAGUAUCCGUAGUAUCGAGUAGGAUCGAGCAACUCUGUAUUCUGUAAUUGUUGGAACGAUUUUAAAUACAUCCGACUAUAUCAAGUACUAACUCGUUUCAUCGUUUGAAACAACAUGUUUGAUAUCCACCACAUUGAGAAAAUCUGUAUUCCGAAUGAAGCCGAAAAAUAACUCGUUCGAAUCCAGACGAAAAGCAUACAGAAAUGUUUGUACAAUACUCGAUUAUUCGCUUCGAAUGGAAGAGAUACUACCGCGAAACGUAAUCAAACGUGCGACAAAGUAUUUCUUCGGAUAGUUUCUCCGUCUUUUGUAGCAGACUAUUCCGCCUGUACGAAGGGUAACCUAUACAUGAUACGGUAUCUCCCCUUAAAGUCAGACCAGAUCCGAAAUGCUCUGUGAUUCGCUCGUCCUUAACCUUGCAUAAGGAUCAAGCAACUAGAUUUAGGCAAACUUCUAACUUUAGGCAGCAUAUACCGGGCGUAAAAUUUAUGCCGGAACCAGUGGAAAUUUAACCCGAGUUUCUAAUACUAUGUAUUCUUUAUCGAAUACAAUGAGAUCGAUGAGACGUCUUAUGGACAUGCACGCAGUCUAGGUCGAACGGCCUUUCCAUAACGGAUAUUCCAUCCGUUGCAUGAUGACAAGGCUCAGCAAGAACUUCUUCAGUGUCACAACAGUGUCAGGCGUCACAAAAAAUGUAUACAUAUCAUCCUAGUGACGAGUAAUAUAAUUUAAUGGCUUGUUGCUACGCGUCGAUGAGACGCAGAAAACCGGAGCUCACGUUCGAAGAGGUGAAGGAGGAAGGAUUUUUAACGAGUAUGCCGCAUAUCGCUUUAGGCGAGUUCCACAUAUCUCGCUAGCGGGAAUGCGUAAUUGCAUUCUUCCCUUCUCUCGCAAAAAAGAAACAAACAAGAAAAUGUGGUGCGAUUGACAUUAAAAGCAAGUGUCGUUGAUUUUAAUAUUUCUUAUAUUCAACCUCACAGCUAAUAAAAUCUCUCAUUCACGUUCUUUUAUUCCAAACUUUUAUCUAUCUUGUGAGAGAGACAAUCGGUCUCGAGGUGCGCCGAGCUGAGGAAUUUACGAUUCUCAUGAAGCCCCCCGUGAGGUAUCAAUUUACGAUAGAUUCGUUAAAGGAGU